rnacentral:lncRNA from 1 species
GGUGCUGACGCCAAUCCCGCCAGUUUGAUUUGGACGUAGCAGGAACACCAGCCCCAUCUUUUCACCAUGGAGCUUCCAGAGCUGACUUUGAAGUAUAAAGAGAAAGACCGGAUGUUGGGCCACAGUAGAGGGCUUCCACCAAAGGAGGGGUCUGGGGGCAAAGCAGGCAAAGAGGCAAGCUCCAGGCAGGGGCUGCCAGCAAGCAGGCUUCUCUCGAUGGGUACAACAGUGCUGUAAAGCUGACAAACAGAGUUUGGCUUCACUUGAAGGUGUGAAAAGAACAGCCUGACUCUGAGAGGUUGAGCUUGGCCAUGGUCUCCCCAUGCUGUCUCCCUUGCCUCUUCUCUGAGUCUCAAGGAACAUGCUGUCACUGGCAGAUAUAAGAACAUCUUGUGCUUUAUAUAUAUUUUUAAACCUUACUGGGUUGCUUGUCUAACUCACCCCUCCAGUGCUGGUGGGCCAGGAGAGAGUGAAAACAAAGCCACUGGAUAGUGAGAGGAUAGAGGGUGCUCCACAGA